rnacentral:misc_RNA from 1 species
ACUGGGCGGCCCUUAGACCCAGGCUGCCUGCUGUCUCUGGCAGGAACUCAAGUCGCUGGUCAUCCUCAGAGCGGUGUUGGCCCGGGGCCUUCAGUGGCCUUUGUGUCUGGGUGAGAGGAACCCUGGAUGGCCACUCUGCCCUGAGUGUGUGGGUCCCCAGAAGUGCUGGGUUAGGGGGCACGGAGGGCCAGAAAGUCCCCUUUGGAGCGCUGGACUCUCUCGCUGACUCCUACCCCACCCCGGCCUGGGGUUUCAGAGAAGGGGUCCAGGCAGGAGUGUCAUCUUUUCUCAAUGGGGAUGUGGCUUCAGUCUCUGUCCAGGUGG